rnacentral:rRNA from 1 species
UACGUAGGGGGCAAGCGUUGUCCGGAUUUAUUGGGCGUAAAGAGCGUGUAGGCGGCUUUGCAAGUCCGUUGUGAAAACUCGAGGCUUAACCUCGAGCUGUCGGCGGAAACCAUCUGGCUAGAGUCCGGAAGAGGAGAAUGGAAUUCCCGGUGUAGCGGUGAAAUGCGCAGAUAUCGGGAAGAACACCCGUGGCGAAGGCGGUUCUCUGGGACGGUACUGACGCUGAGACGCGAAAGCGUGGGGAGCGAACAGG